GCGGACGGGUGAGUAACACGUGGAUAACCUACCUAUAAGACUGGGAUAACUUCGGGAAACCGGAGCUAAUACCGGAUAAUAUAUUGAACCGCAUGGUUCAAUAGUGAAAGACGGUUUUGCUGUCACUUAUAGAUGGAUCCGCGCCGCAUUAGCUAGUUGGUAAGGUAACGGCUUUCCAAGGCAACGAUGCGUAGCCGACCUGAGAGGGUGAUCGGCCACACUGGAACUGAGACACGGUCCAG
rnacentral:rRNA from 1 species